GGCCCCGUGGCCUAAUGGAUAAGGCGUCAGCCUCCGGAGCUGAAGACUGUGGGUUCGAGUCCCACCGGGGUCG
rnacentral:tRNA from 1 species